rnacentral:lncRNA from 1 species
AGCAUCUAGCGUGGCCAGCAGGACCGCAGCACUGACAGCCGGCGCUCAGGCAGCUUCCUUGUCCCAGAUCAUUCUCGUAAAAUGUCUGGGAGCAGGCAGAGACCAACCCGCAUCAUGCUGUUGUCGUAGCGCAAGCAAGGCCUCACAGGAACUGACCAACCUGUCAUGAACUGCAUCCCAACUCUGAGCAAUUAUGAUUCACAUGGUUCUUCUGAUUGGUGAGAAAAUGUAAUGGGACUUCUGCUGCAUAAAGAACAAGGCUCCAGCAACCUACACAGCCCAAGGUCACAACUAGAAUUCUUUGGGUAAGAAGAUAAUCCUGUA